GCCAUCAUAGCUUAGUGGUAGAGCAUCGGUCUUGUAAACCGAAGGUCGUGGGUUCGAUUCCCAUUGGUGGCU
rfam:Eimeria acervulina, Houghton, WGS project CBTS01000000 data, contig: Eah_contig234_3